GCAAACUUGGUCAUUUAGAGGAAGUAAAAGUCGUAACAAGGUUUCCGUAGGUGAACCUGCGGAAGGAUCAUUACCGAGUGCAUGCCCUCGCCCCUGGGCGUGGGCAGACCUCCCACCCCCUGUGUACCCUCCUGUUGCUUUGGUGGGCCGCCCGAUCUCGGGCCCCCGGCCUCCCAGGCUGGGGCGCGCCCACCGGAGCCCCCCCCUCUCGACCUGACCCGCGAGCCGUCUGAGUGGGAUAUGUGAGAAUCACGCAAAACUUUCAACAAUGGAUCUCUUGGCUCUGGCAUCGAUGAAGAACGCAGC
rnacentral:misc_RNA from 1 species